CCUACGGGAGGCAGCAGUGGGGAAUAUUGCGCAAUGGGGGGAACCCUGACGCAGCCAUGCCGCGUGAAUGAAGAAGGCCUUCGGGUUGUAAAGUUCUUUCGGUAUUGAGGAAGGGAUGUGUGCUAAUAGUACAUGUCAUUGACGUUAAAUACAGAAGAAGCACCGGCUAACUCCGUGCCAGCAGCCGCGGUAAUACGGAGGGUGCGAGCGUUAAUCGGAAUAACUGGGCGUAAAGGGCACGCAGGCGGUUAUUUGAGUGAGGUGUGAAAGCCCCGGGCUUAACCUGGGAAUAGCAUUUCAGACUG
rnacentral:rRNA from 1 species